CCUCAGGCCUCCACAUGUGACUUCUGCACCUCAUCUCUGGGAUGGUUUCAGUGGGUCCUAGAUUGCUUUCUGUGCUCCCUGGGACAGUUGGUGGCACUCUGUGAGACUACUCUGAGGUACCCUUACAAGCUACUCUUAAUUUUCCCCGCUGUUCUGCUUGUUGGACAUGGCAUCAUGCUGCAAUGUUAACAGUCUUUCAAAGCUAAGCGCGGAGGAUGUGAUUCCAUCCCUGGCAGUUCUUAGAUUCCCUCAUGACUAUAGGACAGAGAGGAGACUGAGAAACACAAGAAGCACCAGAGUGGUUGAAAGGAGCUGAAGGUUCAGACAGCAA
ensembl:lncRNA novel transcript